CUCUCCCAGACUGAAUAGGACUGUCCUGUGUAAGGAUAUUGCGAAAAUUUAAAAGUGUGACUUUGAAGGCGAGGUUAUAAGAGACGUGGUGGUCUUCAUUUUGCUAUCUUGGAUGACAGGCUCUGAGGAAGCCAGCAGCCAUGUUGUAAGGAAGCUCAAGCAGCCUUGUGGUGGGGUCCACAUGGAGAGGAGCUGAGGCCUCCUGUCAGCUGCCAGCCAUGUGAGUGCACCAUCUCAGAAGUGGAUCUUCCAGCCACGGUCAAGCCCUGGCUGCCAGUUUGAUUGCAACCUCAUGAAAGACUCAGACCAUCGAGAAGUGAGAGGAGCCUGGAGAGAAAGGUGGCCUCUGGGAGGAUCACAGAAGAAAGUACCAGAAUCCACAUGAGACUAAUGGGUCCCAAGUCCAACUCCAGUCCUGUACCAAGACAGCCCCCGGCAGUGCAUCAGAAG
ensembl:lncRNA